UGCAAUGCACUCUUUAAAGCCCUAAAUGACGACUAGUGUCAAAAUACAGUUGCUAGAAAUUUUUAAAUUUAGUUAUUUUUCAAACAAGUCAUUUUUGGUGGUAAACCUUGGCAAAGUUGGUGCUUGGUGUCCAGAUUUGAGAAAUCUUCAACAACUUAGUGUUGUUAGACUUAUGGACUGCAAUGCACUCUUUUAACCCCCCAAAUGAGGACUAGUAUCAAAAUAUAGGUGCAAGAAAUUUUU
rnacentral:lncRNA from 1 species